UACUAUAGUCUAUACUAUACUGGUGUUAAAUGAAGAUAAAAACUCUUACAGCCCCCACCUUCCUCUACUCUGCAGCUCUGCUUUUACAACAUCAUAUCCCCUCUCUAGUCUCUGCCUUCAUUUGCAUAAAUGCUCCUUCCUGCAAUGGGAAAGUUGUAAAAGUGAUUAUAAGAGAUAUGAAGCAUCUGAUAUUAACGUUCUGCCUUGCUCUUUUCAUCCAGCAACAGUCUUUUCUUGUUCAAGUUGAAGCUGGGAAUGGCUUCAUCACAACCAGAGGAGUUCAUUUUAUGUUGAAUGGCAGUCCUUAUUAUGCUAAUGGCUUCAAUGCCUACUGGUUGAUGUAUUUGGCUUCUGACCCAUCUCAGAGAUCUAAAGUUUCAGCUGCAUUCCGUGAAGCUUCUAGCCAUGGCCUUACUGUUGCAAGAACUUGGGCUUUUAGUGAUGGUGGAUACAGGCCCUUGCAGUUCUCUGCUGGAUCUUAUAAUGAGCAAACAUUUAAGGUGAUAUCUUUUUCAAACUAUGUUAUAUGUUUCACUUGCAUUUUUAUGUGUAUAUACUGUUUUGUUUUUUUUGGCUAACCUUAAUUCUGUUCAUGUUCUUGGUUCAAAGGGGUUGGAUUUUGUUGUGGCGGAGGCCAGAAGAUAUGGAAUUAAGCUUGUACUGAGCUUGGUAAAUAACUAUGAGAGCUUUGGGGGUAAAAAGCAGUAUGUGAAUUGGGCCAGAAAUCAAGGGCAGUACCUGACUUCUGAUGAUGAUUUCUUUAGAAAUCCUGUUGUUAAGGGAUAUUAUAAGAACCAUGUAAAGGUAAUUGGUGGAUUAAUUUCCUGUCUUUCACACCAUACCAUUUUCUUAUUGUUUCUUGAUUUGGAUUUUAUUUGAUAUUCAUUCAUGCUGGGAAUUUUCUAAACCUUUUCUUAAUUUUGUGGGAUGUGAGAAUUAUAAGCUAAACUUGUAUUUAUGAGUGGAGUUUCUCUUUAAUUUGCAGACUGUUCUUAACAGAUAUAACACAAUUACUGGAGUUGUUUACAAGAAUGACCCAACAAUCAUGGCCUGGGAGCUUAUGAAUGAGCCCAGAUGCACUUCAGAUCCAUCAGGCCGGACUAUUCAGGUUCUCUAUGACCUUCAGAUCUGACUUUUUUACACCAAGCUUGUUCCCCCCAAAAAACACAAUAUUUAGUCUAUGAUUCUGGUAUUGCCCAAGCCACAGUUUGUACCUACCGUAACUAGUUUUUGUAGACUACAAACUGAUUUAAGCUUCUUUAUUAGUGAAAACUUAUCUCUUACCAUAUGACAUGACAGGCCUGGAUAAUGGAAAUGGCUUCUCAUGUGAAGUCAAUAGACAGAAAUCACUUGCUGGAAGCUGGCUUAGAAGGAUUUUACGGACAAACAACACCUCAGAGGAAGUCACUCAAUCCUGGAUUUGAUAUAGGAACCGACUUCAUUGCCAACAAUCGGAUUCCUGGCAUCGACUUUGCUACUGCUCACUCCUAUCCUGAUCAAUGGUAAUUAUCAAUUAUUGUAGGGGGGGAAAAACAAACGAACUAGAUAUGGGCCAACACUAGUAAAAUUAAUUGUUUGUCCUUUUUGCAUGAUCAGGCUAUCUAGCUCAAAUGACCAAAACCAACUCACUUUUAUGAACAAUUGGCUUGACACCCACAUUCAAGAUGCACAAUAUGUUCUUCGGAAGCCAUUACUCAUCACAGAAUUUGGAAAAUCUGGGAAAGAUUCUGGUUUCAGCCCCCAUCAGAGGGACCUUUUGUUCAACACCGUUUACUACAAAGUAUAUGCAUCGGCCAAGCGCGGUGGUGCAGCUGCUGGAGGACUGUUCUGGCAACUUUUAACUGAAGGCAUGGACUCAUUCCGAGAUGGGUACGAGAUAGUUUUGAGCGAGAGUCCCUCAACUGCAAACAUUAUUGCCCAACAGUGUCAUAAACUAUAUCAGAUUCGGAAAAUAUAUGCAAGAAUGGCCAACGUUGAGAGGUGGAAGAGGGCAAGGACUGCUAGGAGGGCGGAAUGGUUGGCUAGAAACAAGGGCAAGCGUAUCGGACACUAGUAAGGAAUCUCGAUGCAUCCAUCCUUGUUAUAUCAAGUGUCAAGUGUGUGUUUCAUUUUGUCCCAAAUCCUAUUGUAUGCUUGGAAUAUACUCUCUCUCUUUAGAGAUGAAUGCAAGUAGUUCGUCCAGGAGGGGAUAUACAUAUGGCCUAAUUGCUAGUGUUUAUGUAACCUCAACAAGCGGUAGUAAUACUACAACCUUCCACUGGUAUUCUCGAAGGUUUAUACACAAAAUAUAUAAGAAAUGGCUUCAUGAAGAGAAAAUAUUAAUAUAUUAUUAAUACAUACUAAUUACCUAAAUUCCUACUUAGUAGUAUUAGUGUACAAUGAAUAAAAUUAAGUUUAUUUUGUGCGUGUGUGAAUGUUUAUACAUUAAACCGUCACCUAUUAGUAUUUAAAUAAGUAUUAAUGUAUUUUUGUUCCUAUAUGAAUAUUUGUUGGAAAUUCAAGUUUAUAAAGCUUGUAUAUCCCCAGUUUAAGGACAAAUUAAGAAACAGAGAUAGAGUUUCCGGUGGUUGAUGAUCUCAUGUAAUGUGUACAUUGCAUAAUAUUUUUUUAGCUGUACCGAUAUUCCAGCAAACAGAAAGAUCGCGUAAAAGAUUUAGCUGUUACAGAUCUUCCAGCUGGUGUAGCAGUAAAACAAAAGAAGCGCAGCAUGUUCCUAUGAUGCUGUAUAUUAGAAAGUUCACUUCUCGUCCAUAACCCAGUACCUAAAUAUGUAUAAAGUAAAGCCUAAACUAAUUACAGACGCUCCAAACACUACACUGAAUUGAACCCACAAAUAGGAGAUAAAUGCCUCGAGCACAAUUGCCUCCCACAACCAAAACCACACCAAGGCGCCAACAACCACUUGGCUGACCGUAUGAAAUUGUUGGGAAACCCGUAACCAUGACUGCAAAACUAGCAACACAACAUGAGAAAUCUACAAUUCUGGGCGUUUUAAUUUUCCGACAAUAAAAAUCUAGAUUGAAAGUGCAACAAUAAUGAACCCAUAAGACAACUAAUCUAGUGGACAUGGAAUUGGUCAAUUAAAUUAACCAAUAAACUAGAUGUACAAGAACACAUUUGUUUUUCUAUGAUAAACUAGUUAGAAUUAACAAAUGAAAAUCUUAAUAUCUACUUUAUAUCCAAUCUAGCUUCCGGAGAUUACAUUUCAGGAAAGAUUAGGGUUCUUAUUGAUAGAAUGACUUGAUUCAUAUGCUAAUGUGAGUAUGUGACACAAGCUACUAUGCAAUCAAAACAAGUGUAAGAGUGUAUUGGAAUUUGUCAGUUAUCAAUUUUUUUUUUAAUUUUAAAUUUGUCCAGGUAUAUUUGCUCUACAUUAUUACUAGCUUUACCGUCCCCUAGCCGUUAAAAACUGAUUACAAAGUCUGGACGAUCAAAUUAACAAGUAAUUUUACAAGAAUAUGAACUCCUAUAAAUAACGGGGAAGUUAUUGGUGAAUUGGGUAUUUGUUACUAUUUUAUAGGAGUACCAAGGAAGUCCAUUAAAAGAGUUUAGAUGAUACUUACAAAAUAUGAACCUAGUGCCAAGAGAAACCCAGCAAGAGUUGUUGCAAGUCCAUUCACACCAAGCCAUUCCAUUACUGCAAUAGUAGCCAGUAAAAAGGAAUAUUGCAAAUUAGAAACAGUAAUCUGUUUAUUUAUUUAUUAUGUAAAGGGCAAUUCCAUGACUAUACAUGCUUAUGAAAAAUAUAUUGAUGUGGAGUUUCCAAAACUCCAAAUAAGAACUUUGGGCCCAAAGGGUACACAGUGCACAACCCGGAAGAGUUUUGGUUGUGGGGUGCCUCCGUAAAGAAUAAAAAAUAAAAACACUUCAUUAGAUACCAACAGAUAGGCCUGACAAGAUAUGGUUAUGAGUUGGUUUUGAUUUUAGUUUUCAAAAUAUGGUUAUGGUUCCAUUUAAGAACUAAAAUCAUAUUAACCAUUUUUAAUAUGGAUAAUGUGGGUUGGAAGUUAUGGUUAAAAACUAUAUUAACCAUUUUAAUAUUGUUAUGAGUUAUGGGUUAUGGUUUCAGUUCAUUUAAGAACUAAAAUUAUAUUAACUAUUUUUAAUAUGAAUAAUGUGGGUUGGAACCAUAUGGUUAUGGUUAAAAACCAUAUUAACCAUUUUAAUACUGUUAUGGGUUUCAUGAAGACUUGAUUUGNNNNNNNNNNNNNNNNNNNNNNNNNNNNNNNNNNNNNNNNNNNNNNNNNNNNNNNNNNNNNNNNNNNNNNNNNNNNNNNNNNNNNNNNNNNNNNNNNNNNCCACCUAUCCCACCCCCCCUCAAUUUUUGAUCAUUUUACGGAAGCAAGUACUGACUUGUUUUAUCAGUGGCAUGCUUAAAUCCUAGUGAUUGUUUCGCUCGUUUUGAUAAGGACAAAUUGAUUCAUCUCGCUAGCAUUUAUUCAAUGACUUUUUUCCAAUGGAUCUUAUGAAACUUCAUAGUCAACUAGAUAAUUACAUUUCUGAUAUGCGGACAAAUCAAGAGUUUUUGGAAGUUAAAGGGAUUAACUGUCUUGCAAGAAAGCUCGUAGGUACUAAGAAACAUAUUGUAUUUCCUUUAGUAUAUCGGCUUCUAAAGUUGGCAUUAAUCUUAUCUGUUGCGACUGCUACUGUUAAAAGAGCUUUUUCUACGAUAAAGAUAAUUAAGAGUAAUCAAGUUGAAAGACUUGAUUACAGUAGGAUAUGAAUAUUAAUAUCAAAUGUUUUGUUUAUUUUUAAAUUUAGAGGUGAGACUAUUAAUCUAUAAAUUAUAAAUGACUUAAUAAUCUUAAAAUUAUAAUUAUAAUUAUAAAUAUUUUUGAAAUUGGAUUCGUGAUGAAGAGGAGCUGGGCCUGAAUUUAUAUGUUUUAUAGAUGACUAUUAAACAUUUUGAAUCAAAAAUUUUGAUGUUGUAGCCUUGUAGCAUAUAUAUAUAUAUAUAUAUAUAUAUAUAUAUAUAUAUAUAUAUAUUAUAUAUAUAUAUAUAGUCCGUUUUUUCAGCGAACUAUAAGGAGUGAAUUAAGAAUGAAUCAGCUAUAGAGACGGGUUUUUUCGUCACUAUAGCAUAGAAAGUCGACGAAAAAAUCGAUCAUUAUAGUCGAUUCAGUUUUUUUAGUUCGCUGAAAGAAAUGGGAUUAUAUAUAUAUAUAGAUAUAUAUGCAAUAAUAAUAAUGGUGCACCUUAGGAAGGAGGGAGGGGAAACCGAGUCAAAAGUAAAGAAGGGUAGACAGACUGUAGGUGAUCAGCGGGAUAUAAUAUAACAUCACCUUAUUUUUCAGGACUAUGUCUCCUACCUCUGGGCCUAAACUACAAGUACAGAUUACCUAGAUGGUGGGGGCCCAAAUCGGCAUUGCAGCUGGCCACGUGAACGGAUCAGAUACUAUUUGAGUUUGGGACAAAGCGACGCUUACGGUUGGUUUAAAGGCUAUCCUUGUAAUAAAAUUAUUAAUUUCAAAAUUUUUAUUUAUUUUUAAAUUUAAAUUUAAAAUUAUUAAUUUAAAAAUUAUAAAAUAACUUAAUAUAAAAUUAUUUAAUAACUUAUUCAAUUAGGUAGGAUUAUAUUUUAACAUAACCUAUUAAAGUACGACUUAAAUAAUUUUUUAAUUAUUUUAUUUUAUGUCAACUUAUAAGUGAGUUACUCAACCGUUUUUUAUUACAGUCAACCUACUAUACUUUAUUUUUCUAACAAAAAAUUUUCUUCUAAAGUUGGCAUUAAUCUUACUGUUGCGACUGCUACUGUUGAAAGAGCUUUUUAUGCGAUAAAGAUAAUUAAGAGUAGGUUGCGCAAUUACAUGGCAGAUCAAAUGAUGAAUGAUUGCUUGAUUACAUACAUCGGAUUAUAUUAUGCAACGAUUUCAACGAAUGAAAACACACAGAGGGCAAUUGUAAUUAUUAUAUUCUACUAGUUAUUUUUUGUGGAUAAGUUUGAUGGUUACAACAAUGACAUAUUAUAUUUUUGUGGUUAUAUAUUUGAGUCGUUUUUUGUUACUAUAAUUAUCAAUUUUAAUUUAUUGUCUGAUACUCUAAUUAUUGACCCCACUACGAACCAAUGUUGGUUUCGCCACUGCACACACAUAUACACAGAGUAAAGGUCAAGGAAAAGAGAAAAAUAAAAUAAAAUUAGACAAAUCCUAAGCUGUAUAAAAAUAAUCGUAUCCUUGUCAUCCACGCGACUCUUAUCAUAGUUCAUCCAAAAGUUUACAUCAUUGGAGCAAAGACUAGCAAAUUUACAGCUUUAAAUUUAAAAAAUCCAUAAAUUUAAUAUAUGUAUCCAAUAUGGAAAAGAUACUAACCAGGUGAUUGAGAGUGGAUUCUAGUCCACCAGCUGCAAAAUUUGGGUGAAACGUCAAAAGAAACUUGUUGUUCAAGGGCUCCAAUCCCUUCAUCUCCAUUACUCUCUCUGCAUACAUCAGUUAUAAUGGACUCAGCCAUGGUGAUUAGACUCCUACCCCCUCUUUCCAAGGUCGUUAACUUUGAGUGCAAAAUGGAUUUGCGAGGUUUUAAUUCUGGAAAGCAAGUAAGGAUUGUGGUGGGUUUGUUUAAAG
rnacentral:lncRNA from 1 species